rnacentral:rRNA from 1 species
UACGAAGGGGGCUAGCGUUGUUCGGAAUUACUGGGCGUAAAGCGCGCGUAGGCGGCGGUCUUUGUCAGAGGUGAAAUCCCGGAGCUCAACUCCGGAAUUGCCUUUGAAACGGGAUCGCUAGAGUCCGAGAGAGGAUGGCGGAAUUCCUAGUGUAGAGGUGAAAUUCGUAGAUAUUAGGAAGAACACCGGUGGCGAAGGCGGCCAUCUGGCUCGGUACUGACGCUCAGGCGCGAAAGUGUGGGGAUCAAACAGG